CCCAUCCGCACCAGGGGCUGUGGCAGUGCAGUGAUGCAGGUCUUGGGCCACUAAGGUAAUAUCCAGCUUGGAGAUCUCUCCCCAGGACAUGUCCAAGAGCUUCGGCUAAGAGACCGGUACUUUUGGCUAAUUUUCAGGUGUCAUUAGAGGAACAGGCAAGCGGCAGAAGUGGGAACGCCCAGGUCUCAACUCAGUCCUGUCCCUUAGCCACCGAUUAAUGCAGGCUGCGUGCUGCGGUUUGACAGCUCCAAAGAUCUGAAUUUCCCUGUCAAAUAGCAUCUAAAGUGCAGGAGAUGUUGCUCUACCUGUUAUACAUAUUUAUAGGAGCAUGCUGGGUGUCAGUAGCACUACGUCUAGAAUUUAAAUAAAGAGAAGGAAACGUGGCUGUGGUUUGGCCCAUCUCCCCUUGGGGAGCCAAAUACCGUGUCAUGCUGUAACGCAGGAGAGACCACAGAACAGCCCAACUUCUCGUUUAUUGUCCUGCGUUGCUCUACUUGGUAUUUGAUUUUCCUUUUACAUCAGAUUAUGGCAUAUCUUCACUUUUUACACAGUCCUGACUUGCCCCCUGUCCUGGCAGCUAAGGAAAUCUUGGUGCUAAGGAGAGUGCUGGCAAAUUCAUGCCUGCGCGAGACCCUGAAAAGUCAUUGCUCCGCUCGUGGGCUUCCCGGAGCGUUACAAGGCUUAAUGUAACUGCUGGGUAUUUUCUUUGCACACGGUUGCUGCAGUUUGGUUUGCUUUUUCAUUCAAAAAUAUUAUUCAGUUCUUUGGCCGUGAGCUCAGCUCUUGGAAGUGCCUUUGACUAUGCCGUUAGCUAGAGAUGUUGCUGUCGCUACUGUUGCUGGGGUUUUUUUUUUGUUUGUUUGGGGUUUUUUUUGCUUCCUUCCCCGUAUGAGCAGAGUGAUGAGGAAGGCCUACUCUGCAUUUUUUCCCACAAGAGAAAAUAUAGAGGUCCCUAACAAAAAGGCAGCAGCCCUGCAGCCCACCCCGUGAAGGACACCGCUCCACAAAGUGCUCCUGCUUCCCCAGGGAAGGCUAGGAGGUUUUGUCAAAUUAAAAUUAGGUGAAGUUAGGUAAAAUUUGCAAAAAUUAAAACGAGGACCAUGGAAAAGGCAGAAGGUCAAACGAAGGCAAUGCUGGCGGGUGUCUGCCAGCGCUAGCGGGGAUGCCAGAAGGCAAACAUUGCUCCGGGCUGCGGGACCAAAGUUCGAGGCGAGCUUUCAGCGUGACCUUUCGUACAGCCCCAGAGGCGGUUUCCCCACACAGAGACGCGCCAUUGAGCAAUACGGGGAUUUGCAAACUCGCGGAGGCCUCGGUGACUCUUCGGCCCCUUGGUUUUGUAUUAACGCCACGUCCGCGUGACGCAGCCCCGUACCAGCCCCGCCGCAGCUCCGGCGCGGAGUCGGGCUGAGCUGGCCCACGGGCGCCUGCCGGCUCUUUCAGGUUAUGAAGUACUUGUUUAACAGCACUGGCCAGUCCCAUGUGCUGAAGCUGGCAAGUAAAGCUUCCCCAAAGGGCAACGGCUUCCCAGCAGAAACUGCGUUUAGCUUUGGUGCCUGCCUUACUCGCAAGGACGAGACCUCUAGCAGGGCAGAGGGCAGGUUGCUCAUAGCUCCAAAAUAAGAGAUGCCGUUUUUGAGGUUCUUUUAAAAAUAAAAAAUGGAAGAUUCAUCAUUUCUUUGGUCUGACUUCCUCUGCAGUUAGUCAGAAAUCGCCAGGAAAUGCCGCCGAAGGAAAUCCUUCCAGCCCGCGUGGCUGGCACGAGGCGGAUGAGCCGCGGACGGAUGGCACAGGAGGCUCCCAGCAGCGAGCGAACGGGCAAGGCCGCAGGCGCAGCCAGCAAACAGCAAACCGGGGCUCGGCACGUAGAGUAGAAAUGACAGGGAAACAAAAAAAAGAGGGAUUGCCACAGACAGAGCUCAUCCAGAAUCUGAUUUUUACACAAUACAAAAAUCUGGAAUAACUGUAGUAAUCUCACUGAGUUUUUUCCAGGUUUAUAUAUGUCACACAAGCACCUUGUAUGAUCCAUUCGCCUCUUCGAUUUUACUUUUCUCUACACAGUGUGAUCAUCUCAAAUGACAUUUAAUGCUUACUUAAUAGCCUUAUUUAUAUUGCAGACUUGCCCUGUGGCCCUGCUAGCUGGUGACCGCACUGUUACUCCCUGCAGAGCUUACAGCUGCGCUGGCUCAAAAAGCGGAUGCAAGUUUGCUGUCUCCAGGCUCCCUGGAUCAGGUUGGGGGAAACGGAAAUUGUCCUGCUCCUUUAUCAGGCAACAUCCCACCCUGGAAGUAUUGAAUGUUAGCAGUCUACAAGCAGGAACAGGAAACUUCCCUGCGCAGCGGUUCAUAGUCGGUGCAUCCUUACCACUGUUGUUUUCAGUGCCGUGAUUUUGCUCACACCUCCUGGGGCGCUGGUGAGCUGCACACGAACGCCUCGGGGCUUGUCAAGGCAACAAAGAGGAACCACAGCAGUCGCCUCCUUACUGAUCUCCCAUUUCUACUUGUGAAACUUUUCUGGAGGAAGUGGUAGAUUUUUAGCUGUCAUUUGGCGUCAUUUUCAUGGAACUCUGCAAAUAGAUUGUUGUGCCCCAUUGAUGAAGAAAUGCAGGCAAUUUUUUUUUUUUUAAGUACACAAAAUGCUGUUGCUAUAGAUCAUAUUUUGUCAAGGGAUGAUACUAAAAGAUGGUAAAAUUCAACAGUAUUCCUCUC